GCCUGGUUGGCUCAGUCGGUUAAGCGUCCGAUUUCAGCUCAGGUCGUGAUGUCAUAGUCGUGGGUUCGAUCUCCACGUCGGGCU
rnacentral:tRNA from 1 species